rnacentral:rRNA from 1 species
AAUUGGACUUCGGCUUAAUUCUUAGCGGCGGACGGGUGAGUAACACGUGAGCAACCUGCCUUUAAGAGAGGGAUAGCUUCUGGAAACGGAUGGUAAUACCUCAUAAAAUAUGUUUAUCGCAUGGUAGACAUAUCAAAGAUUUAUCGCUUAGAGAUGGGCUCGCGUCUGAUUAGAUAGUUGGUGGGGUAACGGCUCACCAAGUCGACGAUCAGUAGCCGGACUGAGAGGUUGAACGGCCACAUUGGGACUGAGACACGGCCCAGACUCC